UUCCGGUGACAGCUUUGUGUCUGACUUUGUGACAGCUUAGGUAUCAUGCCGGAUUUCCUGCACAUUUUCGUGAAGACCAUCUAGAAGCCCAUGCCUGCUUAUAACUGGCGAGAUGGGAUUAUGGCUUGUCAAGCAGCAGAACACACCCAGUGUCUCCUCUCCUACAGAGCGUCUGCUGCUAUGGACAUGUGCUGCCCUGGGAAAAGUCCACUGAAGGUGGAUGAUGCAGAUGAAAAGGCUACUUCACUUUUGGAAGCUGCCUAAUUCACUUCCAGGAGCAAACUUUUUGAUCGGUAGGAUAUGACUCAGUAAUGCUGAUUGAAUUGGCUUCUCACUGUAUUUGUCAAGGCUGGAACAGACGAUGGCACUGCAGAAUCUUAUGUGCACAGAAGAAAUCUACAGACAUUCAAUGAGGGGAGGAUUUCGUUCCAUCAGAUGGGCUUCCUGACAUAAUUGCAAAGACACAUGAAGACUCAACGAUUUAUCUCCCAUCAACCUCUUCUUAGUUAAUAUCAGCCCAUGUGCUCCAAGAAAACCAGAGGAAAUAUCAAGAAAGAAGAAAACAUGAGACCCUGAAAAUAAAAACCUCAACCCAGAAGGAGACCAUGAAAUAAUUCCAGUAUGUUUGCUUAAUUGUUGGGUAUUCCUGUGACAAAGAAGGCACUACUCAGCCAGCCAGAAUGCACUGACCACCACUGCAGGGUUUCAGUCACAUGAGACAUCUGGGUGAUAGAGGGAAGUGUGGGGAAUGGCUAUCAUUGAUGAGCCUGUAUGUUCUAAGUGAUCUGGGGACUAAGGCUUAUUUUUCUCCAGGCUUGUCUUAUGAAGAAGUUUUAGUCUAUUUGGAAUAGAUAAGGCUUAUACACAUAAAGUAACUGAUACUCAAUUAUAUGUAAUUAUGUUAGUUGGGGAUAAGGCUAAGCUGUGUUAUGUAGUGACUCAAAAAUGCGAUGACUCAAACAAGAUUGGAGCUUGUUUCUCUCCGGGAAUGAAUGAUCCCACACUCGGGGGCAGCUAGGCUGCUGGGAUCCAGGUUCCUUCACCUGUUGCUCUGUUAUGGUUGAAGCUGGCUUAUCCCAACCUCAUUCACAUUUCAGCCCACACAGCUAGGCAGAAGAGGGGUGAAAGUGGAGCAUGAGCAAUGCCUUUUCUUUUAUUUUUUUUAAAGUCAGUAUUAUUGCAUUAUAAUUUACAGAAAAUAAAAUACACCUAUUUUAAGUGUAUACUUUAAUGGGCUUUGGCAGAUUGCUUACACGCAUUGAACCACCACCCUAAUCAAGAUAAUGGCAUUUCCAUCAUCCCUAAACAUUUCCUCAUGCCCUUUGCAGUAAAUGCCAUCUACUCUUGGUCUAAGGUGGCUACUGAUUUGAUAUCUAUCACUACAGAUUAUUUUUGCCUGUUCUAGAAUAUCACAUAAAUGGAAUUAUAUGGCAGGUGCUUUCAGGCUGGGUGAUAUAAGUCAGGUGUCUAAGUUGUAAAUUUAAACAGACACUCACACUAAGUUUUAUGCCAGUGCUGACUCUACAAUGCACCCUGCGCCAUGCUGCAUUGUAUCUUGUUUCUUUUGCCCUGUGUAUUGUUUUUGAGAUUCAUUUAUUUUGUUAUGUGUAUCAGUGGUUCAUCAUUUUUUGUUGCUGUGUAGUAGUCUAUGUCACAAAUUCACUACAAUUUGUUUAUACGUUUGUCUACUGAUGGACGUUGUUUCCGGUUUUGGGCUUUUAUGAACAUAGCUGUCACAAACAGAUGUGUACAAGUAUUUUAGUGAACAUAUGUUUUCAUUUCUCUUGGGUAAAUACUCAGGAAUGGAAUUGCUGGAUCAUAUGGUAAGCGUGUCUUGGUAACUUCAGGAGACUGCUGAACAAUUUUUGAAAGUGAAUUUAAUACUCGAUAGUCUCAUUAGCAAUGUAUGAAAAUUCUAGUUGCUUUACAGCCUCACCAACACUAGUUAUCAUCAACGUGUUUAACUAGCUAUUCUAGUAACUAUGUUGUGAUAUCCAUUGUAGUUUUUUCCUUUUUUGUCCCCGUACCCUAAGCUCCUAUCCAUUGUAGUUUUAAUUUGCAUUGCCCUGAUGACUAGUAAUGUUAAGCAUCAUUAUAUGUGAUUAUAAGCUAUUGUAGUGUUUCGUAAAAUAUUUGUUAAAAUUUUUUGACUAUUAGAAAAAGUAGGU
ensembl:lncRNA RMEL3 enriched in melanoma 3